rnacentral:rRNA from 1 species
AUUGAACGCUGGCGGCAGGCCUAACACAUGCAAGUCGAGCGAGCGGCGGACGGGUGAGUAAUGUAUGGGGACUGCCCGAUAGAGGGGGAUAAGUACUGGAAACGGUGGCUAAUACCGCAUACUAUCGGAUAAACCAUAUGGGAUUAGCUAGUAGGUGGGGUAAAGGCUCACCAAGGCGACGAUCGCUAGCUGGUCUGAGAGGAGGAUCAGCAACACUGGGACUGAGACACGGCCCAGACUCCUACGGAGGCAGCAGGAGGGAAUAUUGCACAAGGGGCGCAAGCCUGAGCGAGCAACGCCGCGUGGAUGAAGAAGGUCUUAGGGGUGUAAAGUACUUUCGUCAGAGAAGCGUUAUCUGACGAGAAAGCAACGGCUAACUCCGUGCCAGCCGCCGCGGUAAUUC